rnacentral:rRNA from 1 species
AAUAAGGGGAGGGCAAGUCUGGUGUCAGCCGCCGCGGUAAUACCAGCUCCUCGAGUGGUCGGGACGAUUAUUGGGCCUAAAGCAUCCGUAGCCGGUUUCGUAGGUCUCCUGUUAAAUUCAACCGCUUAACGGUUGGGCCGCAGGAGAUACCGCGAGACUAGGAGGCGAGAGAGGCGGACGGUACUCCGCAGGUAGGGGUAAAAUCCUUUGAUCUGCGGAAGACCACCAGUGGCGAAGGCGGUCCGCCAGAACGCGCUCGACGGUGAGGGAUGAAAGCUGGGGGAGCGAAGCGGAUUAGAUACCCGGGUAGUCCCAGCCGUAAACGAUGCGAGCUAGAUGAUCCGAUCGCAGUUCGCGAUCGGAGUGUCGCAGGGAAGCCGUUAAGCUCGCCGCCUGGGGAGUACGGUCGCAAGGCUGAAACUUGA